CCCCCCCCCCCCCCCCCUCCCCGUUCCAGGUGGAUACUCUUCGCCAUGUUAUCAGCCAGACCGGAGGAUACAGUGACAGUCUGGCAGCCAGCCAGAUGUACAGUCCACAGGGCAUCAACGCGAACGGUGGCUGGCAAGAUGCGCCCACCCCCUCGUCAGUGACAUCACCCACAGAAGGCCCCGGAAGCGUUCAUUCGGACACCUCCAACUGAAUGGUUCAAUCUCCACACCUGCAAAAAUCGAACUGGCCUUGCUCUUCACAGUAUUAAAGAUAAAGGAAUUCACCGGUCCGAGGUUUUUGGGAAGAGCGGGAAAUCCUAUCUCUGGAAAGGAAUUAAAAAAACAAACUUUCUUCUGCUAUGAUGUUGGACAUUCGGGAACUCGACACAAAACUAAAAGAAUAUCACGAUGAAAAUGAAAACGGUUGCGUAUUGAAUGGAGUUGUUUGUACAGAUUACACAUUAUAUUCAGAGGGCUGGGUUUACUUAUUCACAUGUGAUGUUUUCACUCAUGACGAUGAAAUGACGUGAUACCAUUAAUUAAUCAACCCAUUUGGUUUUGACUGAAACUACAUCAUUCUACCUCUCAGCCACAAAAAAAGUACUAAAAAUGUCAGUGACCCAUUAUUUGUUUUGUAAAAAAAAUGACUUUUUGUCUUUGCAAGCAAGAGGCACAUCUUCUUACGUACAUUUUGUUGUCUCUCACCUAUUCUAUGGUACGCCAUUUAGACUUAAAUAUUGAUUAGUUGUUUACAAUGUGUUCUUGAUAAUGCUCAUCUUCCCAUCUGUCUCCGACCAGUCCGAGCCGAUUGCUGUCGGGAGAUAUUACCUCUAAGGUAACCCUGUGACGUAUGUUAUCUGUAAACAAUAAGAAAAAUAAAUACUUGUCAUGAACUCAGAGAAGCUGGAUUGGCCUGAUCAUUCAUUCAGCGGAGCGUUAAGUCAGGUGGUUUCCAUAAAGGAAAGUCUUUGUUGCCAAAGUAGGGCAUUGGAGCAAUUCAAUUAACCUGCUUCAAAGGUUGUCUCUUGAAUGUGCUCAAAUUAAACACAGUAAUUGUGAUUCUAGAUUACAUUUUUCAGAACAGCCAAAUUACCAUUUUUCAAUUUAAACAACAUUCUAAUGUAACAUCUUUACCAAUAUAUGUAUUUCUCUCGGCCCCAGUACAAUACCGUGUGCUUACAAUCAGCUGUGAGAAAUACACAUGCACAGAAACGUUAAAAAUAUCAAAUCGAUAAAUAAGUGGGAAAAUACAAAGAUCUACGCUUUUUUUCCCGGUCCUAUUUUGUAGCAUAUUAUAUUCUUUGUUUCUUUUGUUGUUGUCGUACAUUCAAUUAGCCUCUAAUUUAUUCGGACCAAUUCAAACAUCACCUUGACAUGGAUGUUGUACAUUAGUCAAUACUUACUGUACUACAGGAAACAAAUGGCCUGAAUCUACACUGUAAAACAAAUCUAGAAUGACACCGUCACAUGUCUUUGGAAGCCCAUUCUGAUGAAGAGACGGAGCGAAGCUGAGCAGAUGUUGCCACAAAUAUAUGUUUUCUUCUUUUUAAGGAAUCUGGGGGAACCUUGACAAAUGGUACCAUGGUUAAAUUACGCUCAUUCAGAUUUUCAAAUAUAUGGUUAUCAAUAUAAAAAAGGAGGAGACAUCUGAUCGUGUCAGACAGUGUUUCACCGGACCCCGUCCUGUUUGUAUACAACAUGUUUUGUGGGUUCCUAUUUUGUGUCCUAAAAGCUGAACGCCUCCCAUUACAUUUUGUGUUGCUCUCCACAUGAAACUUGCUCAACGUGCAGCAUUGUGCUUGAAUAAUGUUCUUAUUUGUUGUUCGACCAAUUAAAAUGCUAUCUUGUGCAGCGGGGAUAUUCA